rnacentral:rRNA from 1 species
CAGUAGCCGCGGUAAUACGGAGGGAGCUAGCGUUGUUCGGAAUUACUGGGCGUAAAGCGCACGUAGGCGGCUUUGUAAGUCAGAGGUGAAAGCCUGGAGCUCAACUCCAGAACUGCCUUUGAGACUGCAUCGCUUGAAUCCAGGAGAGGUGAGUGGAAUUCCGAGUGUAGAGGUGAAAUUCGUAGAUAUUCGGAAGAACACCAGUGGCGAAGGCGGCUCACUGGACUGGUAUUGACGCUGAGGUGCGAAAGCGUGGGGAGCAAACAGGAUUAGAGACCCCGGUAGUCCCUGUCUCUUAUAC